rnacentral:rRNA from 1 species
UACGAAGGGGGCGAGCGUUGUUCGGAAUUACUGGGCGUAAAGAGCUUGUAGGCGGUUUGUCGCGUCUGCUGUGAAAAUCCGGGGCUCAACCCCGGACUUGCAGUGGGUACGGGCAGACUAGAGUGUGGUAGGGGAGACUGGAAUUCCUGGUGUAGCGGUGAAAUGCGCAGAUAUCAAGGAGGAACACCGGUGGGCGAAGGCGGGUCUCUGGGCCGAUACUG